GGUUGAUCUGCUCAGAGGUCAGAAAUCAGAUAAAGUUGAUGUCACAUUACAACCAGAAGAGUUGGAAGCAAUGAACAAUGUCUUGCAUGCAAAGUAUGAGGAAGCAAGGAGGAGGAGAAGCUGCGUAGUCAGCGGGAGGAUUUCAGUGACAUGGUUGCCGAGAAUGAGAAGAAGAGGAAACGAAAAA